rnacentral:rRNA from 1 species
GUACGGGGGGGGUAAGCGUUGUUCGGAAUUACUGGGCGUAAAGGGCUCGUAGGCGGCCAACUAAGUCGGACGUGAAAUCCCUCAGCUUAACUGGGGAACUGCGUCCGAUACUGGAAGGCUUGAAUCCGGGAGAGGGAUGUGGAAUUCCAGGUGUAGCGGUGAAAUGCGUAGAUAUCUGGAGGAACACCGGUGGCGAAGGCGACAUCCUGGACCGGUAUUGACGCUGAGGCGCGAAAGCCAGGGGAGCAAACGGG